GUCUUCCAGUCAGUAUGGUGGAUAUGACAUUCGGCUUAUAAUCGAGUGAGUUCGGGUUUGAAUCCCGAGUAAGGCA
rnacentral:tRNA from 1 species